UACAGAGGUCCCAAGCGUUGUUCGGAUUCACUGGGCGUAAAGGGUGCGUAGGCGGCGCGGUAAGUCGGGUGUGAAAUCUCGGAGCUUAACUCCGAAACUGCAUUCGAUACUGCCGUGCUUGAGGACUGGAGAGGAGACUGGAAUUUACGGUGUAGCGGUGAAAUGCGUAGAUAUCGUAAGGAAGACCAGUGGCGAAGGCGGGUCUCUGGACAGUUCCUGACGCUGAGGCACGAAGGCCAGGGAGCAAACGGG
rnacentral:rRNA from 1 species